GUAGGUGGCAAGCGUUGUCCGGAAUUAUUGGGCGUAAAGCGCGCGCAGGCGGCCCUUUAAGUCUGAUGUGAAAGCCCACGGGCUCAACCGUGGAGGGUCAUUGGAAACUGGGGGACUUGAGUACAGAAGAGGAAAGCGGAAUUCCAAGUGUAGCGGUGAAAUGCGUAGAGAUUUGGAGGAACACCAGUGGCGAAGGCGGCUUUCUGGUCUGUAACUGACGCUGAGGCGCGAAAGCGUGGGGAGCAAACAGGAUUAGAUACCCUGGUAGUCCACGCCGUAAACGAUGAGUGCUAAGUGUUAGGGGGUUUCCGCCCCUUAGUGCUGCAGCUAACGCAUUAAGCACUCCGCCUGAGGAGUACGGCCGCAAAGGCUG
rnacentral:rRNA from 1 species